UCGAGUUCGGUCCGCUUUUACGUUUCUUCUCUCGGAAGUGCUUGCUGUGUGAUGCGGUUCGUGAGUUUUCUUUUUGGGAAUUUGACCUCUGGUUUUAGUGGCUUUUUUGGCAAUAAAAUGCUAAAAUUUGUCGUUGUUUUUGUUUGUCUCUAGUGGAGUUGUACUUGACGGUAAAAAUGGAGUGUGAGUCGGUGGGAAUCUGACGAAAAAAAGGUGGUUUUGUGGCACUGAAAGCUGCGGAUGUUCCCCCAAUGCGGUAGCGACGAGCUUGGCGUGGUUUUCGGCUCUCUGAUCAAAGAAUCGUAGCUUCAGUGAAUAUGGUUGUGUUUCGUGCUUGCCGGGUGAAAAGCGAACGAAUUUCAAAUUGUGGAUUGAUUUAGGAAUCGAACUGUUCAAAAUCAUGCCUAGAAUCGUAGUUGGCCGUGUAGGCUGACCUAGAAACGCUUUUCGGCUUCGAAGAGGUUUGCCGCUGGUUACUACGAUGGAAGCAAUACGGAGAGAAAAACGUGCUUUUUCACGAAAGCUAAUCCACCUCUUCGGCUGGGAAGCAAAAUGGUGCGCUGUUUCGCGGUAUAUUCUUGUGGCUUGAUGCAUUUGAAAGAUGUCAAAUCACAGGAGUAUACUGUGAGAGAUCGCGGAAACCGGCUCGUGAUUGGAAUGUCGAGAAAUCCUUCCUUUUAAACAACAGAUCAUAGAGCGUUUCCGGAAGUUGAAAUUAUUCUACUUUAGACGAUGACGAUCAGAAUGGGCACAAACACACUGACAGGUCAAGUACGCAUUGGAUUUGGAUGAUGAUGCCGCACGGAAAGACCGUUGGAAGAAAGAGAACGCACUACAUCUGCUGUGUGAAACACGUGUUGUGGCAAAUGGCGGGAUUUUCAAAUAGCAACAAGGGUGAUCCUCUUCAGUUGCGUUCAAAAUAGGUCAAAAUGUCUACGAUCAUGAGAUUUGAUUUUCACAAUAUCAAAGUCAUGGAAAUUGUACACAAAGAUUGUUUAAACUUUAUUUUUAAAGAUUGCAUGCAAAUUAGGGAUAACGGGUAUAAUUGUUUUCAACCACCUUAUUACAAGCAUAAUUUUUCAUAACGACUUAUCGAGCAAUUAUUAGGAUUCAAGACAUCCUUUGAGAAAGUUGGCAAACGUUUUCCUUAAACGGUUUAAAAACUAAACCAUUAUUUCAAUCGUUUUUAAACUAGUAUCAUUGCUAAAUCAAAUUCAAAUUCCAUACAAAAAAUGCAGAAACUACACACCCGGUAUGGUGUAGAUUGGUUGGUUUUUCACACUGCAUGUUUGACGAAACUUCGGUUUUGUUUUUUUUUGCAUUUUUUUUAGAAAUGUUGCUCUGAUUUCCCAUUUGUUAAAGCAACGUAUCUAGCAGUGAGGCUUCAAACAUUGAGAUUUCUAGAUACGUUGAUACAUAACAUUAUUUAAAAAAAAAAAAAUAAGAUCUAAAAAAGUCGCGUGUAAUGAUCAUGUUAUAUUAAAAACCUCGUAUUGUUCACUUUUGUAGUUAGGGCAGAAAAAAGGACUUGGUUUACUUUAAUAAAUUCUCGUUUCAUGGGAUUGACCAUGAAAAUGUAAAACAACCAUUUCUUUCUUGUCAACUGGUGUGUAGUGAAAGCAUCGUUCCUUACAUUAUUGCAUCAGUCGAACAAAAAAGUCGAAGGUUGUAUCUAAUAAAUACACGAGUAGGCUGGCGCACCUCUGGGCCAGUUGUAUAAAAUCUUAGAGAGUACUAAUCGAUUAAUACCAAAAUCUCCAGAAUCCGUUGAAAAAUGGCUGAGUUAUUGACUCUUACUUUCUGACCUCUUUUCGUGACGGUUCCGAAUUUGAAACAUUGAAAUAACCCCCCUAUCAAAAGAGGUAUUUCUACGUCAGAACGCUACAGUAUUUAUUAUUUAUUUCUAAGCGUUUUUACGGAAAUUCUACAAGAUAACAAAUAUUCUGCCAUUUACUUCACUGAUUUUUCAUGACUUGAGUUACUGUGACGGUCCCUUCGAACAGUUUCCCGAGAAUUUCAUGUUCAUUAUUAUAAAGUGUAAAGUGUUUGUAGGUCAAACCACGGUUCUAAGAUUGAUUAGGCUCAUUAUUUGUCAGUAGGCAUAAAAUAGCUUGAACUUCCAACAAAAAAAUGUUGGAAAUAAUUAUAAAGACGUGCAAAGUAAAAAAGAAGAAUAAAUUGAUGAAAAGCUAAAUUUUCUGUUGUCAACUAGAUUUUAACUAUUAUUUCUGAUGUGAGAGAAAGACAAAACACUAUAAAAGUUUUUAACUACGAAACGAAACACGCAUCUGUGAUGCAAAUAAUUGUAUUUGAAGAAAUUGGUAGAAACAAAUCGAAUCUUUGAUUUGGUUAUGAUAGUUUUUAAAUUACGUUCUUCAUAUUCAUUUCUAUUUCGUUUUCUGUGUAUUGAGUAAAAGUAGACUUCAAAAGAGACUGUGGUCGCUUCUUACGCAAAUGGAUUUCAUUGGUUUCUUUUUUUUCGAGGGCUACUCAAUGUUUUAUUUAAUCCAAAAGCCAAAAACAAGCAAAUACAAACCGCGUAAAAAUCGACCACAGUGUAUAGCAUCUGACAGCCAAAGCAAUCAUGAAUGAAACCUAUCAAGUAUACAAUUUAAAAGACGGGUUAGAACUAUCUCAUUCAUUUCUACCAUAUACACGAAUUGCGUCCUCAACAGGGAAGAUCAUCUUCAUUGUACGUAAGUUUUCAAUAAAAUUUACACCUUUUUAAUACAAAUAUAU